rnacentral:rRNA from 1 species
CCUACGGGGGGCAGCAGUAGGGAAUCUUUCACAAUGGGCGAAAGCCUGAUGGAGCAACGCCGCGUGCAGGAUGAAGGCCUUCGGGUUGUAAACUGCUUUUAUAAGCGAGAAAUAUGAUGGUAACUUAUGAAUAAGGAUCGGCUAACUACGUGCCAGCAGCCGCGGUCAUACGUAUGAUCCGAGCAUUAUCCGGAGUGACUGGGUGUAAAGAGUUGCGUAGGUGGCAUAAUAAGUAGCUAGUGAAAUCUGGUGGCUCAACCAUUCAGACUAUUAGCUAAACUGUUAAGCUCGAGACCGUUAGGGGUAACUGGAAUUUGUAGUGUAGGAGUGAAAUCCGUAGAUAUUAGAAGGAACACCAAUAGCGUAGGCAGGUUGCUGGGACGGUUCUGACACUAAGGCACGAAAGCGUAGGGAGCAAACGGGAUUAGAUACCCCUGUAGUC